GGCAGCUGCAACCUGCUGCUUCUCUGCCGGCACCGGCACCGGAAAUUCACUCUCCUUUCUAACAUCUCACCGCCCCUCAACCUCCCUAAGACCACCUUCUUCUUUAUUUAUUCCUAAAGCUGUACAUCAAAAGUCAUCAUCUUCUCCUCCUCAUCCCCCUUCACAGAAAGCAGGUGGUAAACAGAACUUCAUAUGGAGAUCAAAAGACGAAAGACAUUUAGCAAAUAAUGAUGGAAGAAGCAGUAAAAAUGAAACGGGACGAUCUAAAUCAACUGCAUUUAAAUUUUCUGGUCUGCAGAGGAAAGGAUCAGGAAAGGGCGCUCCAUUUGAGUCAAAGGAGCCGCAGGUAGAAACUGGUUUCAUUGAAGAUGCACCUUUUCUCAAUGCAGUUGUGAAGGUUUUCUGUACACACACUGCUCCAGAUUAUUCCCUCCCGUGGCAGAAACAAAGGCAAUUUGCAAGUACUGGAAGUGCUUUCAUGAUUGGUGACGGGAAACUCCUGACGAAUGCUCAUUGUGUUGAACAUGGUACCCAGGUUAAAGUGAAGAGAAGGGGAGAUGACACUAAAUAUGUUGCCAAGGUUCUAGCUAGAGGAGUGGAGUGUGACAUAGCCUUGCUAUCUGUGGAAAGCAAGGACUUCUGGAAAGGAGCUGAACCCCUCUGCUUUGGACACUUGCCUCAUCUGCAGGAUGCUGUAACUGUUGUAGGUUAUCCACUUGGAGGAGAUACCAUUUCUGUGACAAAAGGGGUGGUAUCAAGAGUAGAGGUCACAUCAUAUGCUCAUGGAU
rnacentral:misc_RNA from 1 species